CAGUGUAGGAAGGUGGGUAUGUUAAUAGCUAUAUUCAUUUGACGUUAGCUGCUAGAAGAAGCACCGGCUAACUCCGUGCCAGCAGCCGCGGUAAUACGGAGGGUGCGAGCGUUUAAUCGGAAUUACUGGGGCGUAAAAGCGCAUGCAGGUGGUUUGUUAAGUCAGAUGUGAAAAGCCCCGGGGCUCAACCUCGGAAUUGCAUUUUGAAAACUGGCAAACUAGAGUACUGUAGAGGGGGUAGAAUUUCAGGUGUAGCGGUGAAAUGCGUAGAGAUCUGAAGGAAUACCGGUGGCGAAGGCGGCCCCCUGGACAGAUACUGACACUCAGAUGCGAAAGACGUGGGGAGGCAAACAGGAUUAGAUACCCUCGGUAG
rnacentral:rRNA from 1 species